rnacentral:rRNA from 1 species
UACGUAGGGGGCAAGCGUUGUCCGGAUUUAUUGGGCGUAAAGAGCGUGUAGGCGGCCAAGCAGGUCUGCUGUGAAAACUCGAGGCUCAACCUCGAGACGUCGGUGGAAACCGUUUGGCUAGAGUCCGGAAGAGGAGAGUGGAAUUCCCGGUGUAGCGGUGAAAUGCGCAGAUAUCGGGAAGAACACCCGUGGCGAAGGCGGCUCUCUGGGACGGUACUGACGCUGAGACGCGAAAGCGUGGGGAGCGAACGGG